rnacentral:rRNA from 1 species
CAGUAGCCGCGGUAAUACGUAGGGUCCGAGCGUUGUCCGGAAUUACUGGGCGUAAAGAGCUCGUAGGUGGUUUGUCGCGUUGUUCGUGAAAACUCACAGCUCAACUGUGGGCGUGCGGGCGAUACGGGCAGACUGGAGUACUGCAGGGGAGACUGGAAUUCCUGGUGUAGCGGUGGAAUGCGCAGAUAUCAGGAGGAACACCGGUGGCGAAGGCGGGUCUCUGGGCAGUAACUGACGCUGAGGAGCGAAAGCGUGGGGAGCGAACAGGAUUAGAUACCCCAGUAGUCCCUGUCUCUUAUAC